rnacentral:pre_miRNA from 1 species
AAUGGAAUUGCUGGGUCAAAUGGCAGCUACAUUUUGAGGAAUUGCCAGACUGUUUUUCAAAGCACUGCACCAUUUGACAUUACCACCAGUAGU